AAUCAACGCUGGCGGCGUGCCUCAGACAUGCAAGUCGAACGCGAAAGUCUCCUUCGGGAGACGAGUAGAGUGGCGCACGGGUGAGUAACACGUAGGUUAUCUACCUCCGAGUGGGGAAUAACAGCCGGAAACGGCUGCUAAUACCGCAUAAUACCGAAAGGUCAAAGCUUUAUGUGCUUGGAGAGGAGCCUGCGGCAGAUUAGCUAGUUGGUAAGGUAAUGGCUUACCAAGGCGACGAUCUGUAUCCGGUCUAAGAGGACGGUCGGACACACUGACACUGAAUAACGGGUCAGACUCCUACGGGAGGCAGCAGUCGGGAAUUUUGGGUCGAAUGGGCGAAUGCCUGACCCAGCAACGCCGCGUGAAGGAUGAAGUCCUCGG
rnacentral:rRNA from 1 species